UACGUAGGGUGCGAGCGUUAAUCGGAAUUACUGGGCGUAAAGCGCGCGUAGGCGGUUACUUAAGUCGGAUGUGAAAGCCCUCGGCUUAACUGAGGAAGUGCACCCGAAACUGAGUAGCUAGAGUACGAAAGAGGGUCGCGGAAUUCCCGGUGUAGAGGUGAAAUUCGUAGAUAUCGGGAGGAACACCGGUGGCGAAGGCGGCGACCUGGGUCGAGACUGACGCUGAGGCGCGAAAGCGUGGGGAGCAAACAGG
rnacentral:rRNA from 1 species